ensembl:lncRNA
UCCCAGCUUCCUGUCCAUGAGGAUAUUCUCUCCCUACAAUGGCCAGGAUGGCACCCUGCUUACCUCCAGGUCCUUCAUUUCUAAAAGGGAACUGUGGUGAGGAUCGGAGAAAAAUGAAGAUGAAAUAUUUCUAAUGGUGCCAGGCUCGUGCUAGCUGAUAAGAACGGUUUUCUGAAUCUCAGUUCAGACCUAACCUGUGCCCUCAAUAAAGUGGGACACGCUAGGCCACAGCCACGCCCCAGCGAUUCCUCCUCUGCCAGGUUUGUUUACACAGGCCCUUUGAAGAAGAAGUGUCUUUAAUGAUCCCUUAUGUGUUUUACUUGCCAUAAUUCUUUCGCUUGCGAAUCCUUCCCAUUUCUGUCUCUACUGGGCUGGGGAGAAUGUUUGCCAAACCAGUUGAUCUGUUUCUCUAAGCUGCAUAGGAUGUUUCAGACUGUCUUUUCUUAUAUCUGAGCUUCCCAGUCAAAGCUCCCUCCCCUUUUAGUGUCUUGUGUUUGGAGUUGUGUGUCUUUCUGGCCAAUGUGGAUACAAAUAAGACAAGGAGCAGCUGGGAAAUAGCAUCAUUUCAUGGGCGCUGAUCUUAUUGUCAGGCCAGGAGGAUUGCAGAGCGGUAGGGGGGAAAUGUUUUUAGUUUCAAUCAUGGUCUCCUCCAGAGAGAUGGCAGGAGGGGAAGAGAAAUCCAGCAGUCGUUCUGCUCUCUUGCCCCAGGCUCCGUAAUUUGCCUUUUGCUUUCUGCAUUUUCAUAUUUGAGUCUGAAAAGCAGAGGACCCAAAACAAUCAGCAACAGAUGUCCCCACGCAACAUGCAUGGUCCGUGAAUUCAGUUAGCAUGCAAAUUGUCAUCCUAGGGCGAUUCCAGGGGACUGCUGAAAAGACGGCAGACUUUGCAAAAGAGAUAGAGGGCAUGAUUAACAUGUCUGGAUCCAAUCAUAUGUUUAAUUACAGUCCCUUUUUUAUCUCUACUACAAUGACUGGUAGCUAUUAUGACACAAUAUUGAAAAUGUGUAUGACGCAUGGUGGCACUUGGAAUGCUGAUAGGUGGUCUGUGUUUGAUCAAAAUGAUCAAAGCUCCUGGCCAUGGAGAGCCCCUUCUCCUUCUCUCUCUCGUCUGAUCCACUUAGACGAGCAAAAUAUGAUUUACAGGAGACAGUUGAUGUGAUUUUCUUUUCCUGAGCGCAGGGGCAUAAUUUUUGCAUCACUGUUUCCCCCAGAAACAAUGGAACCUUGACAAUGCUCAUAAACACACAGUAACAGACCCUACUCCGAGCCAUUGUUCCUGCUUCAGUUCUAAUUUACUCUCCUACGUUCAAACACUUUUGAGUUUUAUUAUUGGUAUAAUCGAAAAAGAAAAAAAAA